rnacentral:rRNA from 1 species
CGCGUAGGCUGAUAACCAAGUCAGAUGUGAAAUACCAAAGCUCAACUUUGGUGCUGCAUUUGAAACUGGUUGUCUCGAGGGUUGACGGAGAAAACGGAAUUCCACGUGUAGCGGUGAAAUGCGUAGAUAUGUGGAAGAACACCAGUGGCGAAAGCGGUUUUCUGGUUUAUACCUGACGCUGAGGCGCGAGAGCAAGGGGAGCAAACA